rnacentral:tRNA from 1 species
GCGAGUGUGGCGAAAUUGGCAGACGCGCCAGAUUUAGGUUCUGGUGGAUUUCCGUGCAGGUUCAAGUCCUGUCACUCGCACCA